AGGUGCCCUUUGGUGAAAAUGAGGGACAUGAGAAUGCCAUCACACAGUCGGACGGAAGCUUCAACAGAGCCAGUGGGUGUACAGUUUAAAACAUCAUCAUUGUACACCGCAACCUUCUUCACCAAGUCCAGAUGAAACCGUACCAAGUGAGUUGUUGUCUCUGAUAAAGAAGAUGCGACCAGACAACUUAUCAUCAAUAAAGACUGCAAUCAAUCAAACCUUCAGUUACAGAAGAAGAUGGAUAACAACAAAAUCCCUUCAAAAUCUCUUGCUGAAAUCUUCAAGGACUAUCCCAGAUUUCUUGACAUGCCAGCUUUGAUGGACAUUGAAUUUUCCAAGCUCACAGAUAGGAACGAAGACUUGUUUAUCCAGAAAAGGGAAGGGACGAUAAUUCCAGAACUCAAAGAAAUAGCAUCUUGGAGAAGAAUAUUGACAUCAGACUCUUACUGAAGAUGGCUGACAAUCAGCAUGAUGAUGAGCUGUUAAACUGUUAAAGAUCCUUAUUCAUCUUCUUCCACCCACUGCCUCUGGGAGAAGUGUUGCUGGGAGUAAAUGCUGUGUGACUUCUGCUGUGUCCUACCUGUUGGAGCAAGUGCCGGCUGGUACCACCGUUACAUCUUUGCUCACUGAAUCCAUGAAAGGGACCCUGAAGUCAGCUCAGCCGCAGUUGGUUUCUAUUGGUUGUCUAGGACAUGGAUCCUUGUACGUGUACGUGUACUUGUAGCUGUGGCAAAGAAUGACUCUUUUGCUCUUCCACUCGAUCCUGAAAGCCUGACCUGUGCUGAAGACAGACUUUUCAAAUUCUUCUGGCUGUGCAAUCUUCAGUAUCCAUGCCAACUGUCUUCUGUUUUUUUUUUUUUUGAGUAUAUAUAUAUAUAUAUAUAUGACUUGUCCUUGUCCCAGUCAUCUUGCACACGAUCAAAGGUAAUGGAAUUAAUUGCUAAGGUGCAGUCUUGUACCUAAUUGAAAUAAGCAUGUACACCUAUCCAAAGUGUCUUUAAAAUGAUUUUGUAAUUUGGCGUUUAAGGGAAAUGCAUGCACUCUCUGAUAGUCACAACCUAACUUUAAUUUGUAGUCAAAAUCGUUGCCCUAGAACAUAUCAUAAUUUAAAUUCCUUUUUAAAACAUCUCAACAGAUCAUUUUAAAAUUAAUUCAUGCCCUUCUGAAGAGUCAGGACACACAGGGAACGAGAGUUUUAAGA